rnacentral:lncRNA from 1 species
UAUCAGAUAAUAGCAAUUGCUCUUUGUCUUUUAGGAUUGGACAUUUGCCGUUGGUGGUGAUUUCUUGUGGAUUUCAAGGUCCAUGUUAUGCACUUGAUCGCAAUUCUGAAAAGGAAGCGUCAUAUAGUCAUUUUGCACUGGGAUCUUCAAAUUACCUUCGUGGUCCUGCCAAGAGGAAAAAUUGUCUCUAGAGAUACUCGGCUGAGUUACAGAGGUUCUCCAAGGCUGAGUGACUGUGGUUUCCACUGUAAGAUCUGAUCUACAGAGAAGAGCAAUUAUGAAGCUCUUUAAGGAUGCUGGGGAUCCCCUCACAAAUUUAUUUCUCAAAGUAUCAGUGAAAGGUGUGUCUUCUGGACCCUCCCAGUGAGUUUAAUUCAAAACAGGACUAAUGUCUGUGAAAUAGCCAACAUAGAAACCAGCUGGGAACCUAACUGGCAUCACAAGUUCCACUCAGAUUAACAUUUCAAAAAUGACACCAUAUGGUGGAGAGCUUUGGGUUUUAUGACAAAGAAACAGAACGAAUGCUGGACAUCGCAAACCCGCCUAGACUGUGUUGUCGUGCACUGGAGUGAAAGGUGUGUACGCUGGAACGACACAACCGUCACCUGCUUCCUUAGCUCCAGGAGCAAGCUGUUUCUCCACAGUAUUUUAGCAGAUAUCUUUGUCAUUUUAUGGAGAGCUAGAUGCCUUCUGAUUUCAAUGUGU